ACUGCUCAGUAACACGUGGCUAAUCUGCCCUUAGGACGAGAACAACCCCGGGAAACUGGGGCUAAUUCUUGAUGGGUGAAGAACUCUGGAAUGAGUCUUUGCUUAAAUGGACUCACGUUAUCCUCGUGAAUUUGCCUAAGGAUGAGGCCGCGACCGAUCAGGUUGUUGGCGAGGUAAUGGCUCACCAAGCCUUUUACCGGUGCGGGCCGUGGGAGCGGGAGCCCGGAGAUGGGUACUGAGACAAGGACCCAGGCCCUACGGGGCGCAGCAGUCGCGAAACCUUUGCAAUACACGAAAGUGUGACAGGGCUAUCCCGAGUGCCAUCCGCUGAGGAAGGCUUUUACCCAGUCUAGAACGCUGGGGGAAUAAGGAGAGGGCAAGUCUGGUGUCAGCCGCCGCGGUAAUACCAGCUCUCCGAGUGGUGUGGAUGUUUAUUGGGCCUAAAGCAUCCGUAGCUGGCUAGGUAAGUCCUUUGUUAAAUCCACCGAAUUAAUCGUUGGAUCGCGGGGGAUACUGCUUGGCUAGGGGACGAGAGAGGCAGACGGUAUUUUCGGGGUAGGGGUGAAAUCCUAUAAUCCCGGGAAGACCACCAGUGGCGAAGGCUGUCUGCUAGAACGCGCCCGACGGUGAGGGAUGAAAGCUGGGGGAGCGAACCGGAUUAGAUGCCCGGGUAGUCCCAGCUGUAAACGAUGCAGACUAGGUGUUUGGACGGCCACGUGCCGUUCUAGUGCCGCAGGGAAGCUGUUAAGUCUGCCGCCUGGGGAGUACGAUCGCAAGAUUGAAACUUAAAGGAAUUGGCGGGGGAGCAC
rnacentral:rRNA from 1 species